AAAGCAGUAGCGUAAUGGUAGCGCACCGUAUUGAUCGUUUUAACAUUACCAACAGGUCAAUUAAAACAUACUUCUUUCAUCCAGGGAUGCGGGGGUUGCUGGUUCGAGUCCAGCCUGCUUUA
rnacentral:tRNA from 1 species